UGAAAUCUGGCCUCACGGUCCGAGUUGUAAUUUGUAGAGGAUGCUUUUGGCAAGGUACUUUCCGAGUUCCCUGGAACGGGACGCCAUAGAGGGUGAGAGCCCCGUACGGUUAGACCACCGAGCCUCUGUAAAGCUCCUUCGACGAGUCGAGUAGUUUGGGAAUGCUGCUCUAAAUGGGAGGUGUACGUCUUCUAAAGCUAAAUACCGGCCAGAGACCGAUAGCGCACAAGUAGAGUGAUCGAAAGAUGAAAAGCACUUUGAAAAGAGGGUUAAAAAGUACGUGAAAUUGUUGAAAGGGAAGCAUUCAUGACCAGACUUGGGCUUGGUUGAACAUCCGGCGUUCUCGCCGGUGCACUCUGCCAGUCCAGGCCAGCAUCAGUUUGCCCCGGGGGACAAAGGCGGUGGGAAUGUGGCUCCUCUCGGGGAGUGUUAUAGCCCGCCGUGUAAUGCCCUGGGGUGGACUGAGGAACGCGCUUCGGCACGGAU
rnacentral:rRNA from 2 species